rnacentral:lncRNA from 1 species
UCAGCAUCAAUCAUCUCCACGGUUCUCUCCAGUUAAACCCUUCUCAGGCACCACCCCAUCCAGGAAACCACUCCCCAAGAGGAAGAACACGUGGAACUUCCUGAAAUGCGCCUACAUGGUGAUGACCUACCUCUUCGUAUCCUACAACAAAGGGGACUGGUUCACUUUUUCCUCCCAAGUGUUACUGCCACUACUGUAACUUGGAACUGGACAUCAGGGAUGAUCCCUGCUGUUCUUUCUAGUGAGCCUGCUCCAUCUCAGCUUAGCCUUCACAAGGCCUCCAUCUCCCAGGCAUUCUAACCUCUGAAGAAAGCUCUCUGUCCCCUGGACUGCCUGUGUGGAGGGUAAUGAACUGGGUCCUUUAAGGAAUGGCACCUGGGUGCCCAGAGGCAUGGCCAGAAGGUGUCUGUGGGGGCCAUGCCUUAGGGGGAUGCACCCAGGGCGGCUGAGAGAGCAACUGCAGGAGUUUCCCCUAAAAUCUCUCCUCCAGAUCGUUCUCGAACUUUCCCCACUACUUCCAUAAUAAAAUGUAUACUUGUU